GUGGGCGUAGGAAAUUUGAGAGGAGCUGUCCUUAGUACGAGAGGACCGGGAUGGACGCACCGCUGGUGUACCAGUUGUUCCGCCAGGAGCAUCGCUGGGUAGCUAUGUGCGGAAAGGAUAAGCGCUGAAAGCAUCUAAGUGCGAAGCCCCCCUCAAGAUGAGAUUUCCUUUGCGUAAGCAGUAAGACACCUCAGAGACGAUGAGGUAGAUAGGCUGGGAGUGGAAGUCCUGUGAAGGAUGGAGCGGACCAGUACUAAUCAG
rnacentral:rRNA from 12 species